GAUGAACGCUGGCGGUAUGCUUAACACAUGCAAGUCGAACGGAGUGCUUUGGCACUUAGUGCCGGACGGGUGAGUAACGCGCGAGUAGCGGGCUCCGGGUUCGGGACAACGGUGGGACACUGCUUCUAAUACCGGAUGUGCCUAAGGGCAAAAGACUAAUUGCCUGAAGAUGGGCUCGCGUCCGAUUAGCUAGUUGGUGUGGUAAGAGCGCACGAAGGCGUCGAUCGGUAGCUGGUCGGAGAGGACAAUCAGCCACACUGGGACUGAGACACGGCACAGACGCCUACGGGAGGAAGCAGUGGGGAAUUUUCCGCAAUGGGCGAAAGCCUGACGGAGGAAUACCGCGUGAGGGAGGAAGGCUCUUGGGUUGUAAACCUCUUUUCUCAGGGAAGAAAAAAAUGACGGUACCUGAGGAAUCAGCAUCGGCUAACUCCGUGCCAGCAGCCGCAGUAAAAC
rnacentral:rRNA from 1 species